CCUACGGGAGGCUGCAGUGAGGAAUAUUGGUCAAUGGGCGCAAGCCUGAACCAGCCAAGUCGCGUGAGGGAUGACGGUCCUAUGGAUUGUAAACCUCUUUUGUCGGGGAGCAAGGCCCGCCACGUGUGGCGGGAAGGAGAGUACCCGAAGAAAAAGCAUCGGCUAACUCCGUGCCAGCAGCCGCGGUAAUACGGAGGAUGCGAGCGUUAUCCGGAUUUAUUGGGUUUAAAGGGUGCGUAGGCGGAAUGUUAAGUCAGCGGUCAAAUGUCGGUGCUCAACACCGGCCUGCCGUUGAAACUGGUCGUCUUGAGUGAGCGAGAAGUAUGCGGAAUGCGUGGUGUAGCGGUGAAAUGCAUAGAUAUCACGCAGAACUCCGAUUGCGAAGGCAGCAUACCGGCGCUCAACUGACGCUGAGGCACGAAAGCGUGGGGAUCGAACAGGAUUAGAUACCCCUGUAGUC
rnacentral:rRNA from 1 species